rnacentral:rRNA from 1 species
GACGAACGCUGGCGGCGUGCUUAACACAUGCAAGUCGAACGGAAAGGCCCUGCUUUUGUGGGGUGCUCGAGUGGCGAACGGGUGAGUAACACGUGAGUAACCUUCCCUUUACUUUGUGAUAACUUCAGGAAACUGGGGCUAAUACCGGAUAGGAGCUCCUGCUGCAUGGUGGGGGUUGGAAAGUUUCGGCGGUUGGGGAUGGACUCGCGGCUUAUCAGCUUGUUGGUGGGGUAGUGGCUUACCAAGGCUUUGACGGGUAGCCGGCCUGAGAGGGUGACCGGCCACAUUGGGACUGAGAUACGGCCCAGACUCCUACGGGAGGCAGCAGUGGGGAAUAUUGCACAAUGGGCGGAAGCCUGAUGCAGCAACGCCGCGUGCGGGAUGACGGCCUUCGGGUUGUAAACCGCUUUCGCCUGUGACGAAGCGUGAGUGACGGUAAUGGGUAAAGAAGCACCGGCUAACUACGUG